rnacentral:rRNA from 1 species
AACGAACGCUGGCGGCGCGCCUAAUACAUGCAAGUCGAACGAGAAGGUGUAGCAAUACACUUGUACAGUGGCGAACGGGUGAGGAAUGCAUGGGCAACCUACCCUCGAGUGGGGAACAACCAGCCGAAAGGUUGGCUAAUACCGCGUACGCUUCCGGGUCUCCGGAUCCGGAAGGAAAGUCACACCGUGGGUGUGACGCUCAAGGAUGGGCUCAUGUCCUAUCAGCUUGNGGUGAGGUAACGGCUCACCAAGGCAACGACGGGUAGCUGGUCUGAGAGGACGAUCAGCCACACUGGCACUGCGACACGGGCCAGACUCCUACGGGAGGCAGCAGUAAGGAAUAUUGCGCAAUGGGCGAAAGCCUGACGCAGCGACGCCGCGUGGGGGAUGAAGGUCUUCGGAUUGUAAACCCC